rnacentral:rRNA from 1 species
CAGCAGCCGCGGUAAUACGAAGGGGGCUAGCGUUGUUCGGAUUUACUGGGCGUAAAGCGCACGUAGGCGGAUCCUUAAGUCAGAGGUGAAAUCCCAAGGCUCAACCUUGGAACUGCCUUUGAUACUGGGGAUCUCGAGUUCGGGAGAGGUGAGUGGAACUGCGAGUGUAGAGGUGAAAUUCGUAGAUAUUCGCAAGAACACCAGUGGCGAAGGCGGCUCACUGGCCCGAUACUGACGCUGAGGUGUGAAAGCGUGGGGAGCAAACAGGAUUAGAUACCCCGGUAGUCCCUGUCUCUUAUAC